rnacentral:lncRNA from 1 species
UUCUUUAAAAAAUAUUUUUCAUCAUCCUCAGUCUUAAAUGAUGAUAUUAUGGAAUAUCUUUGGCCUGUAGUGCAAAGAUGAAUGAUUUCUGAUGAAUAUCUUUGGCCCGUAGUGCAAAGAUGAACAGGUGUUUAGAUGAACAUGACCAACUGAUGAAUAUCCUUGGCCUGUAGUGCAAGGAUGAAUAUAUGAUUCAAGAGGUGUAUUGAUUGAUGUUA